CACAGAGCAAGAUGGCAGCCAUUCGUAAGACAGAAAGAGAGCCCUCACCAAGAAUCAAAUCUGCCAGCACCUUGAUCUUGGAUUCCCCAGCCUCCAGAACUGGGAAGAGACUGACUGAAUGGGUCCGAAAUGAAGGAAAAUCACAACACAGAGAGAAAACGAGUUCUGGUGACAUCACUUGAGAUCCUGAUUCUGGACCUUCCUGAAAAAAAUCACUCUACUUUGCCCUUGUAUUCUUAAGUUAUGCAAGUCACCUAUUUUUUUCACCUAGGUCUCUGUGGAACCUGGCAUUAUUUUUCUGGGUAUGCUUUCAGUUGACACACUCAAACCUGAUUAAAGAAGAAAAGGUAUAAAUAAAGUUCACCCGAAAAAAAAAAAAUCAAAAGAAGAAGAGGAUGAAGAAAAGGAAGAGGAACAUGGAUAAGGAGGAGAAGGAAGGAGAGAAUUAAGGAUGAGAUGGCAUUAGGUACAGCUGGAUCCAGGCGUUGACGCAGGACCCUCAUCUUGCUUACACUCCUGAUCCCCCAACUCUCCGCUCUGCUUCUCUCUGCGUGGUGGCCUCUUUUACAUGGUCAUCAACCAAUGGGUAAUCAAAGGUCACAGCAUUUCCGCUUAGUUACCCCAAUGGAAGAAACUUAAUGUUUUUUGUCCCAGAUUCUGUACAUAAAUCCAGGAGAGUAGUCACCUUAGCUCUGUUUGUGUAUGCUAGCAAUAAACAGGAAGUCUAAUCU